AGGAGGAGGAAAGACUGGAGAAACUCCUGCAGUCUCUGAGGAAGCAGACUCAGCUGGCCAUCCAGCAAAGGGACUUAGCCAUAAAGAUGCAGCAUCAAUUUGAGGACCUCCAGAUGAGGUCUGAAAAGCUGCACCUUGAACUGGACCUGGCCACAGCCCAUAAGGAGAGCCUCCUGCAGAAGAGGCUGCUGCUUCAGGAGCCACCUGCUGAGCCCCAGCCCCAGUGAACACAGAAUUCCUGGGAGGAAUUGUCUUCUUCAGAAUGGGGUGCCUUGCUGUGAACAGCCCCUACUCUUGUUUAGCCAGUGAGGAAGCCAUGCUACUUCUGAGUCUCAGUCUCUUUUCCGUUCUGACUACACCCGCUGAGAAAACUGGUGUCACCUUUGCCACUAAGUGUUAAGACCAGCCAUAGGCUGUGGGUCAGUCCUGUUAAAUCUACUGUGAGAGAAGGCUGCUGAGCUUAAUUUUAUGGUAGGGUUUGGGUUUUGUUUUAUUUUUUUCUUUUUGAUGUUCCUGUUGUUUUUGGUUGUUUCAAUUUUCUCUUUAUUGGCUACAUUUUAUAUAUACUUGUUAUUGUUUUCCAAACUUCGAUUGUAAUACCCACUUUUUUUAUUAACUCUCUUUUUGAAGAUCGUUUUGAAAAAAAAAAGUAUUUUCUUAUCAAUAAAAAUGUGAUUUCUAACUCUUCAA